GUAGAGAGCCUUGAUAAAGUAUGGAAUGUUUUCAGGAUAUUCAGCUUUCACUAAAGCGAAUUUUAGUUGAUGUGUCAAUGAAGAACAAAAGCUGGAAUGUGAAUAGAAGAAGGGGUCGUACGGGGUCUGUAAAAAUACUCAAGUGGUGCUCGCUGCAUAUCAGAUCAAGCAUUGGAAUAAGAUUUUUAUCGGGGGAGAACAACCAACAGAGAAAGACCCAUUCACCAACUACAUGGCGCACUGAAAGGGGAGAUUCAUGUCACCUUCACCAGUCCUUUCUUUAAAUGCUGGAAACUGUUAAGGGAAAGACCCUCAGACAUAAUAGGAUAAAUGUGGCUGCAGGUAAAAUUAUUUGAUGGUGUUAAGGUUUAUCAUUAUCUAACAAACCAAAUGCUUUGUUCAAUAACAAGAAAUCACAUUAGGGCCAUUUUCUGGAAGAGAAAUCCACUUGG